rnacentral:rRNA from 1 species
UACGUAGGGUGCGAGCGUUGUCCGGAAUUAUUGGGCGUAAAGGGCUCGUAGGCGGUUUGUCGCGUCGGGAGUGAAAACCCAGGGCUUAACCCUGGGCUGGCUUCCGAUACGGGCAGACUAGAGGUAUGCAGGGGAGAACGGAAUUCCUGGUGUAGCGGUGAAAUGCGUAGAUAUCGUUUGGAACGCCAAAGGUGAAAACAGACAGCUGGGAGUGUGCUGACGCUGAGACACGAAAGCCAGGGGAGCGAACGGG